CCUACGGGAGGCAGCAGUAGGGAAUCUUGCGCAAUGGGCGAAAGCCUGACGCAGCAACGCCGCGUGGGGGAUGAAGGCCUUCGGGUUGUAAACUCCUUUCAGCGGGAACGCGGUACCCGCAGAAGAAGCCCCGGCCAACUACGUGCCAGCAGCCGCGGUGAUACGUAGGGGGCGAGCGUUGUCCGGAUUUAUUGGGCGUAAAGAGCUCGUAGGCGGUUUGGCAAGUCAGGUGUGAAACCUCCAGGCUUAACCUGGAGACGCCACUUGAGACUGUAUGACUAGAGUCUGGUAGGGGACCAUGGAAUUCCUGGUGUAGCGGUGAAAUGCGCAGAUAUCAGGAGGAACACCAGUAGCGAAGGCGGUGGUCUGGGCAGACUGACGCUGAGGAGCGAAAGCGUGGGGAGCAACAGGAUUAGAUACCCUUGUAGUC
rnacentral:rRNA from 1 species